CUGCAAUUUACAGCACAAAGAACAUCAUGGUAUGUUAAACUGUUUAAUUUUUUUUUUUUUGGGAUUAAGAAGAAUAAACAGAAAUACAAAUGAUAUUUAAAAUGAUUAGAUGCAAAAUUCUUUCAAUUCUCAUGCGUGAAAAACUCUGCCUACCAUAGUAAUGCGUGAUAGAAUUGAAAGAGUUCAAGCUGCAUGUCCAAGUGUUCUGUAGGUCAAACCCAUGCUCUGCAGUUGUCAAAGGUACACACACAUAUUGACUGAAACCACUUGUCCUAUGCGGGGUCGCAGCGAGCCAGAGCCUAACCCGGCAGCACAGGACGUAAGGCUGGAGGGGGAGGGGACACACCCAGGACGGGACGCCAGUCCAUUACAAGGCACCCCAAGCUGGACUGAACCUCAGACCCACCAGAGAGCAGGACCCGGUCAAACCCGCUGCACCACCGUGCCCCCCUUGUCAAAGGCGUCACUACCCAGUUGUCCCUGCUGCUGAGAGCUGAACACUUCUGUAUAUGUAUAGUGACACCAAACAAGCAUUGUCUCGUUACAUAAGACUUGAGGAGGCCGACCGGUUGUGACAGACGAAUCCAAUGCUGACUGAAGAUGAUGACCAACUGCCAUGAUGGAUGAGACGUACCAUGCUGAUCUGGGGAUUCAAGAUCCCAUAUAGCAACAAUAUCAUUAUUACUUGUUAACUGGCUUAGAAUUGUUAAUUAAUCUAGAAUGUCCAGCCACUGGCCCUUGGACUCCCAGAGGUUUUUUUUCGGCCUCAAUUUUCAGUUGGGAGUUUUUGUUCCUUUCCUCUGUGGCCAGUAGGGAAACUUAUAGCUCUGUAAAAGUAUUAUAUUAUGAUAGUCAGUAGUUAACUGUCUUCUUUGUUUCUUAUCUGAUGUAUUUGUUUUUCUUGCCUUAUGCCGUGUUAAAGCAUUCUGUGUCACUGUGUGAGAAGAGCAUUUUAUAAAAAUGAAUUGAAUUGAAUUGCGUUACAGUUCACAAUACAUUUUGGUGUGUUUAGUGCAUAAUCUAGGGGCAUACAGAACCCUAAAAUAAAUUUCUGUAAAAAAAAAAAAUCA
rnacentral:lncRNA from 1 species